UUAUAAAAAUACUAUUAUAAAAUAUAUAAAAUCCUAUUUAUCAUUCAUAUUUCACGGUUUUUACCAAAUUGAUGAAACGUUUCGUCAAAAUUCAACGAUGUAAAAGUAUUUCGCCUUUUAAUUUUUGUACAUGUAAAAAAUAAAAUAUUUCGCUGAAUUUGGACGAAAUAUUCCAAUGAGAAAAUUUGUCUAUAUCGAAAAUUGGAAAGUUUAAUAGAGCGAUUUGUACGAGGAGACACAUUAAUGAAUCACGGUGAUAGCCGCCUUAGUUUACUUCGGGUUCCUUGGUCGCCAUCAUUGUCUUUGUUAUUUGGGAAUCGAGUUUCCCGUGGUAAAUAAGAGUCAGCACUGCGGUUUGCAGCAUGACCUACGACAAGCUAGGAAAGUUGAAAUCGUUAUGUGAACCAUCUAACAGUGUCAAGAUUAAAUUAUGAAUGGUCGUGAUCUUCAUGACGACGAUGAUGAUUUGUCAAUGAGGCUCUCCUUUGCCAUUAAAGUUUUCGCAACGUGUCUCUAUUUAUAUCUGUUCACGGCCGAGCGAGGGAAUUCCAGACUGUAUACAAUAAUACCAAUAAAUUUAUUUCUGUGUCUUGUAACUACCAAUAUUUUAAACAUAAAUAAAUCGUACAUUAAUUUGUUCAUUCAAUAAUUCAUUCAUUCAAAAUGUCAGUGAUUUUCACAACUGGGAAUAAAAUAUAUUAUAUUCUAUUACCACAUUAAGUAAACAGAUAACAAUGAUAUUUAUUAGCGAAUAUAUUUAGCAAAGUUCAGUAUGUUUUACAAAUUCAAUUUGUCUCAGAUAAUGGUAAAUGUAUAGUUUUAUACAAUAUAAUAAUAUAUAUACAGCAACACAGUUACAGUUAUAGUUUAAUUUUGAAGUUUGUUUCUAGUAUUCUGAAAUACAUAAUGGAUAGGAUACCUGUCAGUUCACGAAGCAGGACAAACAUAAUUAAUUAACGUUUGUUAAUUUACCAACCACUGAAUACAAUUUAACGUAAUCCUGUAAUAAAAUCGAACAAUAAAUAAACGGUACAUUUAAAAAUUUAUAAUGUUAUUCUAUAUAUUUUAAUUUUUACUUUUAACAUUUACUAAUUGAUCUAAAUGACAUUUAAUUUAAUGACAAAAUAAAUAUAUUUUUAAAAUGUUGUACAAAAUUUGUAAGUUUGUAAAAUAAAACUAUGGCUCACUACACGUUUUGGGAAACUGUAAGUGUGGUGAGUAAUUUUCAAAUAAAUAAAUAAAUAAAUGAUUACCUAGUAUUAUCUAAUGUCUGAAAAAUGGUAUAAUUGUUAAUAUUUGACAUAUUGUAUAUAUUUCAAUAACUUAUCU